AUUGAACGCUGGCGGCAGGCCUAACACAUGCAAGUCGAGCGGAUGAAGGGAGCUUGCUCCUGGAUUCAGCGGCGGACGGGUGAGUAAUGCCUAUGAAUCUGCCUGGUAGUGGGGGAUAACGUCCGGAAACGGGCGCUAAUACCGCAUACGUCCUGAGGGAGAAAGUGGGGGAUCUUCGGACCUCACGCUAUCAGAUGAGCCUAGGUCGGAUUAGCUAGUUGGUGGGGUAAAGGCCUACCAAGGCGACGAUCCGUAACUGGUCUGAGAGGAUGAUCAGUCACACUGGAACUGAGACACGGUCCAGACUCCUACGGGAAGCAGCAGUGGGGAAUAUUGGACAAUGGGCGAAAGCCUGAUCCAGCCAUGCCGCGUGUGUGAAGAAGGUCUUCGGAUUGUAAAGCACUUUAAGUUGGGAGGAAGGGCAGUAAGUUAAUACCUUGCUGUUUUGACGUUACCAACAGAAUAAGCACCGGCUAACUUCGUG
rnacentral:rRNA from 1 species